UGAGGUGUAGCCAAGCGGUAAGGCAACGGCCUUUGACGCCGUCAUGCGUUGGUUCAAAUCCAACCACCUCAGCCA
rnacentral:tRNA from 1 species